UCUGUCUAUAAAGUCGUGACAUGAAUGUUUGAGGAACUAACAUUAUUCAUGUGUCUGGCAACACCAGAGUUCACUAAACAUAUGUACAUCAGCUGUCAUCGAGAACAAGUUGUGGAACGAUUUUCAUUUUGUGGUUUUUAUUGUUUGACUAAUCUCCAGUAAAUUAUUACUCAGCUACGAAGAAAAGUAUAAACAAUGAGUAAAGUAAAUUGGAGUGCCACGCGGAAAGUGAUUUUUAAAGUUUUCCAGCAAUGUUCCGCGGAGUACCAAGUUGGUCAAAUUUUGUGGGAUUUGGAUGAUGUUUAAGGGCGAACAGCAUCUUUGACGGGAAAAUCAGAGAGUACGGUUAGGCGCAUAGUCAAUGAGGGUUUUCAGAAUAAUGGAAAAUUUAAAAUUCCUGGGAAACACAGGCAAGGCCGACCAAAGAAAGAAAUGGAUAAUUUUAAUAUUUGUGCUCUGCGCCAAAAAAUAUAUUUUUUUUACACGGUACAAAAAGAGGUCACAAAAUGUUCGCAAUCUCUAAACAUCAAAGGUAUCACAAAAGACAUUUUCAAAGGAAAGCGUUACAUCAUAGUCCAUGCUGGAAGCGAAAAGGGGUUUGUUUCAAACUGCCUCCUCAUAUUCACUGGCAGAAAUAAUUUGAAAGACUACCAUUCAGAAAUGAAUGCGCAUAACUUUACGAAGUGGAUUAAAGAAAAACUAAUACCAAAUCUUCAUGAGCCAUCCAUUAUAGUUAUGGACCUGUACCAAGACAAUUGGUUAUUUGCUUAGGCGAUAAUACCAGCAGUGAAGAUGAUGAUGUGAAUGAUGACAGCGCUGCUUAUGAAGGUGGCAACGAAACUUUUCUUAACAUCGAAUAUUUGGAAUCCGAUGAUGAAAGUGAUUAAUAAAUGUCUUUAUUAACUAUGUAUGAUGCGUUUUUUUUUUAUGCUGAUUCAAUAAAAAUGCUUGGUAAAACCUUUCAUAAGCAUAGGUACCUACUGUAGGUAUUAAAACAGAAACAAAAUAUCGUCGUCUAAAUUGGUUAAGGGCUGAUUUUUCAAUCGUCGGAUAACUUUUAACUGAAGAAUAAGAUUGGCACAUUGACAGUUUUAGUAUGGAAAAUAUGUCAAAAUGACAAGUUUAUUCAUCAGUCAAAAGAUAUCUAAGGAUAGAAAAAUCUACUCUUAAUUAAAUUGCCCUAGUAUCAAACUCAUUUGGUCAAAUUGUAUAGGGUUGCUACAUGAAGAAAAAAAGCGCCCUCAUUUUAUGUCACGACUUUAUAGACAA